AUUGAACGCUGGCGUCAGGCUUAACACAUGCAAGUCGAGCGGAGAGAAGUAGCUUGCUACUGAUCUUAGCGGCGGACGGGCGAGGAAUGCUUAGGAAUCUGCCUAUUAGUGGGGGACAACAUUUCGAAAGGAAUGCUAAUACCGCAUACGUCCUCCGGGAGAACGCAGGGGCACUUCGGACCUUGCGCUAAUAGAUGAUCCUAGGUCGGAUUAGCUAGUUGGUGGGGUAAAGGCCUACCAAGGCGACGAUCUGUAGCGGGUCUGAGAGGAUGAUCCGCCACACUGGAACUGAGACACGGCCCAGACUCCUACGGGAGGCAGCAGUGGGGAAUAUUGGACAAUGGGCGGAAGCCUGAUCCAGCCAUGCCGCGUGUGUGAAGAAGGCCUUAUGGUUGUAAAGCACUUUAAGCGAGGAGGAGGCUACUUUAGUUAAUACCUAGAGAUAGUGGACGUUACUCGCAGAAUAAGCACCGGCUAACUCUGUGCCAGCCGCCGCCGUAAUAC
rnacentral:rRNA from 1 species